CCUACGGGUGGCAGCAGUGAGGAAUAUUGGUCAAUGGACGAGAGUCUGAACCAGCCAAGUAGCGUGAAGGAUGACUGCCCUAUGGGUUGUAAACUUCUUUUAUAAAGGAAUAAAACGAGGCACGUGUGCCUUUUUGCAUGUACUUUAUAAAUAAGGAUCGGCUAACUCCGUGCCAGCAGCCGCGGUAAUACGGAGGAUCCGAGCGUUAUCCGGAUUUAUUGGGUUUAAAGGGAGCGUAGAUGGGUUGUUAAGUCAGUUGUGAAAGUUUGCGGCUCAACCGUAAAAUUGCAAUUGAUACUGGCAGUCGUGAGUACAGUUGAGGUAGGCGGAAUUCGUGGUGUAGCGGUGAAAUGCUUAGAUAUCACGAAGAACCCCGAUUGCGAAGGCAGCUUACUAAACUGUGACUGACAUUGAUGCUCGAAAGUGUGGGUAUCAAACAGGAUUAGAUACCCCAGUAGUC
rnacentral:rRNA from 1 species